GCACAGACUAACCUGUUAGGUCAUUUACAGUUCGCAAGACAAUUGAUUGUAUUAUCCUCUUCAUUCUUGGACUGUAACACCCACAUUCUAUGAAGUGAUGAAGUCCUAACCUCACUCACACAAAAUUUAUGAAUAAGGACAAAAUACAGACUAAUAGUUAAAAAGAGUAUCCUUCUAACCUGAGGAUUAAAGAAUCCUGUCAUCCAGAACUGGUUUGGUCUUCCAUCAAAAAUCCAGAGAGCCUGGUUAAAAAUGAAAAGAACCUUUGAAAGCAGUUUUCAGAAAGAAAGAAGCAGCAGCAGCCUGAAGAGCAGCUAAAGCAGUUACUGAAUGGUGACAGUUAUUCGACUGUAAUAAAGGAGAACCUCAUACUCAAGAGAGCCAGCCACGCCCAUAGCAACUACAACCAUUCACUUCUUCUGCUAUGAUAGAUGACACAGAAGUGAAUACGACCUGCUACACCUGAGAACGUUACACAGCCUGAAAUCCCAGCUGAAGAAAAUAGAUACAAAACAUCCAAUUAUCUUGGGUCUCUAGGGUGUCUUCACUGAAGAUGAUAUUUCAUUUUGGAUACAGAAUGGCUUCUCAGCGUGUCAACAAUGGAAUGAA